rnacentral:rRNA from 1 species
CACGUAGGGCGCGAGCGUUGUCCGGAAUUAUUGGGCGUAAAGAGCUCGUAGGCGGCCUGUUGCGUCCGCUGUGAAAGCCCGGGGCUUAACCCCGGGUCGGCAGUGGAUACGGGCAGGCUAGAGGUAGGUAGGGGAGAAUGGAAUUCCCGGUGUAGCGGUGAAAUGCGCAGAUAUCGGGAGGAACACCAGUAGCGAAGGCGGCACUCUGGGCCGGAACUGACGCUGAGGAGCGAAAGCGUGGGGAGCGAACAGG